AUUUGGUUGCUCUAUUGCUUGCGCCUUGUUUGAAAAAUUCUCUACAUUCUUGCAUUCGUUGGUUGUUUCAUCUGCUGGUAAGCAUUCAGUUCAGCAUUAUUUAGAUGAUUUCAUAUUCGGCGGUUCUGCAAAUUCGGAAGACUGCUUGGUUCUAAUGAACACAUUUACUGAGCUUUGUAAUGAGUUAGGCGUGCCUAUAGCUGAGGACAAAGCAACACAUCCUACUACAAGAUUAACUUUUCUUGGCUUAGAAAUAGACACAGUUGACAUGGUCGUUCGUAUUCCAGUGGCCAAGCUUAUUAAAUUACGUUCUCAACUUCAAUCAAUGACAAUAAAGCGAAAGAUUAAAUUUAAGGAUCUUGAGUCGCUAGUUGGGUUAUUAGCUUUUUGUUCACGUGCGGUUCCAUCCUCUAGAGCGUUUUUGCGGAGAUUUUAUGAUGUUAUUGCAUCAUUUAAGGUCAAAAAACCAUUUUUCUCAAUUAGAAUAACCUCUGAAAUUCGAGAGGACGUCUUGGUAUGGUUA
rnacentral:lncRNA from 1 species